rnacentral:lncRNA from 1 species
CAGGUACAUCAGAAUCUCUUCUUGUGCGAGUCUAUCACAAAGGACUGCACAAAUCUAUAAAAGAGUCGGCGUAAGUCGAAGUGCAAUCCUUCUGCCAACAAAAAAGCACCUUAGACUGGUGCCACGCUACAAUGAUCAUCGCAACCAUUCCUGUACUCGAUGUUAUCCGGUUCUACUAACACUUGGAAGCACCUUCAGUUUCGGUUGUGACCGUUCUAGGCUCAAUCCGUUUUUCUAAAGUUCACUUGAAGCAGCACCUUAAAAUUACUUCAGUUUGUGGGGUCAUGAGUCUUGGACAUGCUUACGGGAUGGGGUCUCUCUAGGUAAAUUUUACUCAUCACAGUGCCUUCGUGAUAAAGGUCGGGGCAAUUCCAUGAGAUUGUCAACAAUGUACUACAGCUGUCUUCUUUCGACAAACAGUUCGCAGUAGUCUUCUCCUGCCUCUGACAGGCAAGAGGGCAAAUUCUUGAACAAGACCUUCGUCUUAGCACAAUGAAGCACUGCACCUUCCAUGAGUCCUACACCAAUAGCCACUCAUAAAUUCUUGAAAGACGUUCAUUCCCUUUCAUGAAUGACAAGUGACCCAGUGCACCUGAAUACAUGGGAAUACAAUUCAAAGGCAUACCUAGUUCUUAAACUUUGUUUGUUUCCGAUCUAUAGCUAAAGGUUUAUGACGAUUGCUGUCCUCGUUGUACGUUAGACUUUGACACUUGGUCUGUCCAGUAAGUCAACUUCAGCUUCGUAAUCGUAAAUGUGGCAAAUUGCAG